rnacentral:rRNA from 1 species
UACGAAGGGGGCUAGCGUUGCUCGGAAUCACUGGGCGUAAAGCGCACGUAGGCGGAUCUUUAAGUCAGGGGUGAAAUCCUGGAGCUCAACUCCAGAACUGCCUUUGAUACUGGGGAUCUCGAGUCCGGGAGAGGUGAGUGGAACUGCGAGUGUAGAGGUGAAAUUCGUAGAUAUUCGCAAGAACACCAGUGGCGAAGGCGGCUCACUGGGUCAUUACUGACGCUGAGGCACGAAAGCGUGGGGAGCAAACAGG